rnacentral:rRNA from 1 species
UCCUACGGGAGGCAGCAGUAGGGAAUUUUGCGCAAUGGGCGAAAGCCUGACGCAGCAACGCCGCGUGAGGGAUGACGGCCUUGGUUGUAACCUCUUUAUCAGGGAAGAUAAUGACGGUACCUGAUGAAUAAGUCACGGCUAACUACGUGCCAGCAGCCGCGGUA